CACGUAUGGGGCUAGCGUUGUUCGGAAUUAUUGGGCGUAAAGGGCGUGUAGGCGGUUUCAUAAGCUUGGUGUAAAAGGCUCUGGCUUAACCAGAGUUUAGCGCUGAGAACUGUGGGACUAGAGUUCAGGAGGGGAAGCUGGAAUUCCAGGUGUAGGGGUGAAAUCUGUAGAUAUCUGGAAGAACACCGGAGGCGAAGGCGAGCUUCUAGCCAUGGACUGACGCUGAGGCGCGAAAGCGUGGGGAGCGAACAGGAUUAGAUACCCCCGUA
rnacentral:rRNA from 1 species